AGCUCUUCAGUCUUCCUAGCCCAGGUGCCUUCUGUCACUAAGAGUUACUGCCUCAAGUUACCGCACAGAAAUCUUUAUCUUAAAUGAUAAAAAGAAAAAAACCAAAAAGCCUGAACUUUUCAUUUGUCUUUCAGCAUUUUAUAGCUUCUAAUAAAUUCCUAGCACAUACUUAGUGAAAAGAACAUAUACCUCUUUCACCAUCUUUUAGACAGCCUUUCAACUCAGCUUUGCUUCCACUUUUGAGUGUGAUUACAGUAUACAGCAUACACUGACAUAACUUCAUGACCGGUUAAAACAAUAAUGCAAGCUGAAAGUAGUAUAUUGGUGACAGCAUAUGAUCAAUUUACUCAAUGCAACACAUGUCAGAAAAAAAUAAGGCUGAGCAGCAAGCCUGCCACAGAAAUCUUGACUUCAGAGCUGCUGAGCAUGAGGGCACAUCACUGCAGAGGCCUGGUCUCAUGUCAGGCCCUGCCUUAGUAUGACAGGGCAGCUGGUGGUCACCAAGAUCAGGUAGAACUUUGCACAGCAAUACAAAUGUGACUGUUCCUUGUCUUCUUUUCAGUGCAUUCAAACACUGGUCUAACUCCUGUACAAAAAUAAAAGCAGCACUGGCAUUUAAAUGGGUAUUUUUAUCUACUUUAAACUUUGCCUUACACUUGUAUAAGUAUCCAUCUCCCUAGCACAAACUAAUGCAAACCAACUUUCAAGACAACCUUGAGAUAAUACAUGAAAUAGAAAAGAUGAAGAUCGAAAGGAAAAGAUCACUUGGAUAUAAGCAGGUAAGGUAGAAACAUUUUAAUACACAAAGACUGAGUUUUCUCUGCAUGAGAAGCUUCUGUCAUUUACAAGCUCUUUAUAGUCAUUUAUGAGGUGCAGCAUUCCAGAACCAUUCAGGUUGAAAGACACCUCUGGAGGUUAUCUAGUCCAACCCCCUAUUCAGAGCAAGGCUAACUUCAAAGCUAGAUCAGGAUGCCCAAGGCCUUGCUCAGUUCACCUUUCAAAACCUCUAAGGACGAUGAUACACAACCUCUCUGAGCAACCUACUCCAGUGCUCAGCGCUCCCACUGUGACAUCUUCAGCUUUGUCUAAAAUCAUUGCUUCUUAUUCAGGAAGAAAGAGGUGAAAAGGUGGCUUCAGGAAUGCACUAUUGAAGGCCAAGUCCAUACAGGAGAAAGAUAUACAUUUCUUCUCGUGAAAAACAGUAUUUGUUUCUCUAGUUGCAAAGUGCCAUUAAAAGAUUCUUCCACCUGGAA